UUCUCCAGUUCGGCCACCGCACUCCGGCGUCGAUUCCGGCCGCCCUCGUCCUCCUCCGGACAAACCGAGCACACCUCCGGUUUCCCUGCAUUCAGGCGCAUCCCCGACGCUACCUUGCUCGACCCGGUUCGCCCCGAUUCGCCAGGAUCGUGGUCGUCCAGAAUCCUCUCCGCGUACCCAAGUUCAUCCCGUCACUGUUUGGUUCAACUUGCUCCACGUCCUCCUUCAUACAAGGCACUAACAACAGCGCAGUGAUCUCGGGCAUCCAUGCUUCAGUUUACGUGGAGGCUUUCCGUAUUCAAAACCACCAGGCAGCCUAGUUGAUCCGUUGAUGGGCCUAGCCCAGUUCUAUCCGGCGCAGCUCGCUCCCCACGCGGGCCGAAAUUACCCGGCGCCGAUGCACAGCAGAUCCGGCCCAGGACAUUGCAG